rnacentral:rRNA from 1 species
AGUGAACGCUGGCGGUAGGCCUAACACAUGCAAGUCGAACGGCAGCACAGUAAGAGCUUGCUCUUACGGGUGGCGAGUGGCGGACGGGUGAGGAAUACAUCGGAAUCUACUUUUUCGUGGGGGAUAUCGUAGGGAAACUUACGCUAAUACCGCAUACUACCUACGGGUUGAAUCAGGGGAGCUUCGGACCUUGCCCGAUUCAAUGAGCCGAUGUCGGACUGGCUAGGUGGCGGGGUAAAGUGCCACCAAGGCGAGGAGCCGUAGCUGGUCUGAGAGGAUGAUCAGCCACACUGGAACUGAGACACGGUCCAGACUCCUACGGGAGGCAGCAGUGGGGAAUAUUGGACAAUGGGCGCAAGCCUGAUCCAGCCAUACCGCGUGGGUGAAGAAGGCCUUCGGGUUGUAAAGCCCUUUUGUUGGGAAAGAAAAGCAGCAGGUUAAUACCCCGCUGUUCUGACGGUACCCAAAGAAUAAGCACCGGCUAACUUCGUG